AAUAAAAUAAAAUAAAACUUUCCGGUAAUUCCGAAAAAACCGACGGCCGAGUCAGACUUUUGACUUCCACGCCAACGCGAGGGUCUCUUUCUCUCUCCGAUAUCCUUUCCGCCGCACCGCCAAACCGUCUCCGCCGCUGUUUCCUCUUCCUCCGGUGGCAGCGUCAGGAUGCGAUUUCUCGACAGUGUCCUCCUUCGUCUCCGUAACUUUCUUAGUUGCGCCUCUCCCUCUGCUGUUUCCUCUCGGCCGACGGGUCCCGGCGACGCGGCUUUGUCAUCCAUUGGUUCCGGCGGAGAAGAUGCUGUUUACAGGUUGUCUGAUUCCAUCCUUCUUAAGAUCCUUAAAGGAGAUAUCACCCAGUGGUCCGUCGAUGGCUCCUCCGAUGCUAUUGUUAAUCCAGCAAAUGAGCGUAUGCUCGGUGGUGGUGGUGCAGAUGGAGCCAUACACGAUGCUGCUGGGCCGCAGCUGAGAGCGGCGUGCUAUGAGGUCCCAGAAGUUAGUCCCGGAGUCCGUUGCCCUACCGGAGAAGCAAGAAUCACCCAGGGUUUCCAUUUACCCGCAUCUCAUGUGAUUCACACGGUCGGGCCUAUAUAUGAUUCAGACAGUAACCCCAAAGAAUCCCUCUCCAAUGCGUACAAUCGAUACGGUUAUGACUAUUUGAUGAGACAUAAGUCUGAAACACUGAGAGUGGCCAAGGAGAACAACAUCAAGUACAUUGCAUUUCCUGCCAUAUCUUGUGGUGUUUUCGGGUACCCUUUCGAUGAAGCAGCUUCAGUAGCUAUCUCCACCGUUAAACGGUUCGCCAACGACCUGAAAGAGGUUCACUUUGUUCUUUUCUCGGAUGACACAUACAACGUGUGGAUAAACAAGGCAAAGGAGAUGCUACAACGUUAAGACUCUUCUGGGAGCUAAGUACAAGUAAUCUCAAGUCCAAACUCUACUUAGCUGCCUACGAAGUGAGAAAAAGGAAAACUUCAAAAGCUCUAUCCGCUUGGUGACAUUGGUGAGUAAUUACCCUUUGACAAAAGUGAGAGAAUCAGACACGAAUCGAGCAACUGGGCAAACGCGUAAAGGCCCAGGGACAAGCCAAGUGGACAUGUCUGAGCUGACGUGGCGCAAUAUCCUCUUAUAUCUCAGUUGCCACC